rnacentral:lncRNA from 1 species
CCUGGCCUCCGCAGGCAGUGCACACCAUUUCUCCAGAGACAGUACCCUCAGAGGAAAGGCCAGGUGAGGACAAAGCAGCCACCUGCAAGACAGGGAGAGAGCCCUUACCAGAACCAGAAGCCUACUGAAACUUUGGCCUUGGCCUUUCCAGCCUCCAGAGCUGGAAACUGAUGUCCAGAGAAUAUCAGGAAACUGAAGCUUCCCAGGCCCCAACUCCUCUGCUUCUUGACACCAGAAUCCACCAUCCACCAUGGAGACAGACAACCAAGAACAUCUACCUGCAGAUUCCCUUAUCUCACCACCUCCCUGCCUGCAAGCAGCCUCACCAGGCUAAAUGCUUUCCCUCACAAGGGAAAGUGCAAAUGCAAGGUCACAGGGUCCGCCUCCCUACAAGCAGAAAAGGUUUACAACACUUUACCCACUUCUUCAUGGGGAGCCAGCAGUUCUUAAGGUGCUAGCCUGCUGCAUGAUCCUUUUGCCUGGC